rnacentral:lncRNA from 1 species
UAAAAUGGCAGUUUUACAAUCCAUGGUGUUACCGAACACCUACCUAUACACGGAAAUUCAAAGUUCCUCCUCUAAUGGCAUUGAAACACAUUACAACAGGUUCUUCAGUGUCCUUCAUCGUGACGCCAAGCCAUUAGAAACACAUUACAACAGGUUCUUCAGUGUCCUUCAAUCUUGACGCCAACCUCCAAAUUUGUGGGUCAUUACUUUCUGAAUGUCAGCAGGUGGUUCAGAAAGUGAUUCGCCGGACAUC